CGAAAGGUCAUCGCCACAAAGGGAUUAAUAACGACCGCCGGUGAUACUGAUAUCCAGAACCCGGCGUCUAGAGUACCCAGUACUUCCGACACCACAUGUUCUCUUGGACCAGAAAACGUUCGGCAUAGAAAAUUCAAGUGGUAUUGGUUCGAGAAGAUUAGCCCCGGAACUUGUGGAACAAAUCGACGCUGGCG